rnacentral:rRNA from 1 species
GACGAACGCUGGCGGCGUGCUUAACACAUGCAAGUCGAACGGAAAGGCCCUGCUUUUGUGGGGUGCUCGAGUGGCGAACAGGUGAGUAACACGUGAGUAACCUGCCCUUGACUUUGGGAUAACUUCAGGAAACUGGGGCUAAUACCGGAUAGGAGCUCCUGCUGCAUGGUGGGGGUUGGAAAGUUUCGGCGGUUGGGGAUGGACUCGCGGCUUAUCAGCUUGUUGGUGGGGUAGUGGCUUACCAAGGCUUUGACGGGUAGCCGGCCUGAGAGGGUGACCGGCCACAUUGGGACUGAGAUACGGCCCAGACUCCUACGGGAGGCAGCAGUGGGGAAUAUUGCACAAUGGGCGGAAGCCUGAUGCAGCAACGCCGCGUGCGGGAUGACGGCCUUCGGGUUGUAAACCGCUUUCGCCUGUGACGGAGCGUGAGUGACGGUAAUGGGUAAAGAAGCACCGGCUAACUACGUG